UCCUAGUGAUUAGAGUUUGAUCAUGGCUCAGAUUGAACGCUGGCGGCAGGCCUAACACAUGCAAGUCGAACGGUAACAGGAAACACGCUUGCUGUUUCGCUGACGAGUGGCGGACGGGUGAGUAAUGUCUGGGAAACUGCCUGAUGGAGGGGGAUAACUACUGGAAACGGUAGCUAAUACCGCAUAACGUCGCAAGACCAAAGAGGGGGACCCUCGGGCCUCUUGCCAUCGGAUGUGCCCAGAUGGGAUUAGCUUGUUGGUGGGGUAACGGCUCACCAAGGCGACGAUCCCUAGCUGGUCUGAGAGGAUGACCAGCCACACUGGAAUUGAGACACGGUCCAGACUCCUACGGGAGGCAGCAGUGGGGAAUAUUGCACAAUGGGCGCAAGCCUGAUGCAGCCAUGCCGCGUGUAUGAAGAAGGCCUUCGGGUUGUAAAGUACUUUCAGCGGGGAGGAAGGGAGUAAAGUUAAUACCUUUGCUCAUUGACGUUACCCGCAGAAGAAGCACCGGCUAACUCCGUGCCAGCAGCCGCGGUAAUACGGAGGGUGCAAGCGUUAAUCGGAAUUACUGGGCGUAAAGCGCACGCAGGCGGUUUGUUAAGUCAGAUGUGAAAUCCCCGGGCUCAACCUGGGAACUGCAUCUGAUACUGGCAAGCUUGAGUCUCGUAGAGGGGGGUAGAAUUCCAGGUGUAGCGGUGAAAUGCGUAGAGAUCUGGAGGGAUACCGGUGGCGAAGGCGGCCCCCUGGACGAAGACUGACGCUCAGGUGCGAAAGCGUGGGGAGCAAACAGGAUUAGAUACCCUGGUAGUCCACGCCGUAAACGAUGUCGACUUGGAGGUUGUGCCCUUGAGGCGUGGCUUCCGGAGCUAACGCGUUAAGUCGACCGCCUGGGGAGUACGGCCGCAAGGUUAAAACUCAAAUGAAUUGACGGGGGCCCGCACAAGCGGUGGAGCAUGUGGUUUAAUUCGAUGCAACGCGAAGAACCUUACCUGGUCUUGACAUCCACGGAAGUUUUCAGAGAUGAGAAUGUGCCUUCGGGAACCGUGAGACAGGUGCUGCAUGGCUGUCGUCAGCUCGUGUUGUGAAAUGUUGGGUUAAGUCCCGCAACGAGCGCAACCCUUAUCCUUUGUUGCCAGCGGUCCGGCCGGGAACUCAAAGGAGACUGCCAGUGAUAAACUGGAGGAAGGUGGGGAUGACGUCAAGUCAUCAUGGCCCUUACGACCAGGGCUACACACGUGCUACAAUGGCGCAUACAAAGAGAAGCGACCUCGCGAGAGCAAGCGGACCUCAUAAAGUGCGUCGUAGUCCGGAUUGGAGUCUGCAACUCGACUCCAUGAAGUCGGAAUCGCUAGUAAUCGUGGAUCAGAAUGCCACGGUGAAUACGUUCCCGGGCCUUGUAGACACCGCC
rnacentral:rRNA from 1 species